rnacentral:lncRNA from 1 species
UUUUGUUUGUUUGUUUGUUUGUAGAGAUGGGGGUCUCGCUUGUUGCCCAGGUUGGUCUUGAACUCCUGGCCUCAAGUGAUCCUCCUGCCUCGGCCUUCCAAAGUGCUGGGAUUACAGAGACAGGGUCUGGUAUGUUACCCAGGCUGAUCUCCUGGGCUCAAGUGAUUCUCCCACCUCAGCCUCCCUAAGAGAUUGCAGGCAUGAGCCACCACGCCCAGCCAUAACCUACUUUUAAUCAGCAGCUUCAAAAUGGCUGUGACAUCAAGUGUAUAAUAACACUGAACUCACAGUCAUGCUCUACAUAUCAAAAGAUGGGUGGAGAGAGACUUCUUCUGUCAGUUUGAUGGAAGAAUAUGUGUGCCGUCUGUUUCAUGUACACUAGAAUUCAUCCCUGAAUUAAGCCAGACCAGUGGCACGGACACACAGCAUGGGACUGCACUGAUCUGACUGAUUCUGCCGGAACAUGGUGCCACCAGCUGUAACAGGAACACCGAAGAAAUGAAUAAAUCCUAUGAAAACUUGUAUUUAUGGUAGUGGUGUGGUUGAGACGUUGUUCACUUUAUCACACCCCUUCUGGUCAAGGGAGACCAGAAGAAAACUGCUUCCUGGUCUCAGGGAAAGGAUUAGUUGUGUUACUAUUGCGGGACUUUUCCUUAGUUCAGCUAAAGACGGGUUCUUUGUCCCACAGCCACGAAAAUUCAGGCUCGCAGACAAUCUGAAUGGUGAAUGAGAUGGGUUUUAUUGGAUGAAAAGGAAGAAAACGGAGAAACAGGGACUGUCGCUAGGCC